rnacentral:rRNA from 1 species
UCGUGGAUUGAUUUGUCUGGUCUAUUCCGCUAACGAGCGAGAACCCGCCCUCUCGUGGUUAGGCGCUUGAGCAUGCAGGGAGCUGGGCCGACGCAAGAAGGCCCGGCUCCCAGCUGAAAACGCUCCUGAGCUCGUUCCGGAGGGACCGGUCCCGAUAAGGAGCCGGCAGCGGGUCAAUAACA